rnacentral:rRNA from 1 species
UACGUAGGGUGCAAGCGUUGUCCGGAAUUAUUGGGCGUAAAGGGCUCGUAGGCGGUUUGUCACGUCGGGCGUGAAAACUCGGGGCUUAACCCCGAGCCUGCUUCCGAUACGGGCAGACUAGAGGUAUGCAGGGGAGAACGGAAUUCCUGGUGUAGCGGUGAAAUGCGCAGAUAUCAGGAGGAACACCGGUGGCGAAGGCGGUUCUCUGGGCAUUACCUGACGCUGAGGAGCGAAAGUGUGGGGAGCGAACAGG